GCUCAACCGGGGAGGGUCAUUGGAAACUGGGAAACUUGAGUGCAGAAGAGGAGAGUGGAAUUCCACGUGUAGCGGUGAAAUGCGUAGAGAUGUGGAGGAACACCAGUGGCGAAGGCGACUCUCUGGUCUGUAACUGACGCUGAGGAGCGAAAGCGUGGGGAGCGAACAGGAUUAGAUACCCUGGUAGUCCACGCCGUAAACGAUGAGUGCUAAGUGUUAGGGGGUUUCCGCCCCUUAGUGCUGCAGCUAACGCAUUAAGCACUCCGCCUGGGGAGUACGGUCGCAAGACUGAAACUCAAAGGAAUUGACGGGGGCCCGCACAAGCGGUGGAGCAUGUGGUUUAAUUCGAAGCAACGCGAAGAACCUUACCAGGUCUUGACAUCCUCUGACAACGCUAGAGAUAGGGCUUUCCCUUCGGGGACAGAGUGACAGGUGGUGCAUGGUUGUCGUCAGCUCGUGUCGUGAGAUGUUGGGUUAAGUCCCGCAACGAGCGCAACCCUUGAUCUUAGUUGCCAGCAUUCAGUUGGGCACUCUAAGGUGACUGCCGGUGACAAACCGGAGGAAGGUGGGGAUGACGUCAAAUCAUCAUGCCCCUUAUGACCUGGGCUACACACGUGCUACAAUGGACAGAACAAAG
rnacentral:rRNA from 1 species